UAGGGAAUCUUCCGCAAUGGACGCACGUCUGACGUAGCAACGCCGCGUGAGUGAAGAAGGAUUUCGGUUCGUAAAACUCUGUUGUUAGAGAAGAACAGCGCAUAGAGUAACUGUUAUGCGUGUGACGGUAUCUAACCAGAAAGCCACGGCUAACUACGUGCCCGCAGCCGCGGUAAUACGUAGGUGGCAAGCGUUGUCCGGAUUUAUUGGGCGUAAAGCGAGCGCAGGCGGUCAAUUAAGUCUGAUGUGAAAGCCCCCGGCACAACCGGGGAGGGUCAUUGGAAACUGGUUGACUGGAGUGCAGAAGAGGAGAGUGAAAUUCCAUGUGGAGCGGAGAAAUGCGGAGAUAGAUGGAGGAACACGAGUGGCGAAGGCGACUCUCUGGUAUGUAACUGACGCUGAGGCUAGAAAGCGUGGGUAGCAAACAGG
rnacentral:rRNA from 1 species